UUUUUCCUCGUAGUUCCCAUCCCUGCACGUCCUACCGCGAGUUUUUCUUCGGCUCGGCCAAGCAGGGGUUUCCCGGGAGCCGGCUCCGGCUCGUUAUCGGCCGCCUGGCCCGGCCCCCCGCGGCUUCGCGAGGGCGCUGCCGGCCGCGCGUUGCGCACGGACGGCACGGCAUGAGGGGGAGGAGAGGUGUGCGUGGCAGCGCCCACGCGAGGAGUGACCGCGGUGGGGCCGCCGUGGGGCUGCGGCGGGCCCGGGGGCGCGGAGGCGGAGGCAGCGGGUGGUGAGCCAGCAUCCCUCCAUAAGGGCUUCCCCCUCUGAAAGGAACCUCUUUCUGAUCGCGGAGGCCUUGGCUCCUGUGUCAGAGAUUGCGUGAAGUUAAUUAAGGAAUUCCUGUGUUCUAAUCCCUACAUCGGAACAAGCCAAGACUGACUGUCAUUUCUGGAGAGGCAAGAUGCAAAACCAGAAGUAAACAGGAUCUCGAUGCAACAAUACUGUUACCUAACAGGGACUGAUUCUUAUCCUAUGAUUGGAAUUAAUAUCAAGAUGCCGAAGUGCACAUUCCUCAGCAAAAAUCCAUAGUUUCCAAAUACAAAUGCGUGCUUUUGGACCCAAUGAGUAGUUCCAGUAGCUCUGUGUAGACUCUCAACAUGUGAGAAACAGCCUUUUGUAUAGCUCUUGAUCCUUACGUACAUGAGAGUCUCUGUGCCCUUAGUUACAUGUACUGGCCCUGGCUUGCUGAGCAUUUUUUUGUGUUGUCCAGCUACUGUCUUAGUUCAUCCUGUUGUUUGUUGCUUCCAAAUCAACAUCUGAGUCAAACCUUUACUAUUUUUCACUCUCACCCUGUAAACUCCCUGUACUACAGCUCCAGCCUGUCUUGGCUAAGCAGCAUAGCAUCAUAUAAGUGAGCUCCAAUCCUUUAUUUUUGUUUGGAAACAGUGCUUUUUCUCUGCAGUGGACUGUAAUGGAAGACUAUAACCUUGCAAUUGCUUGAUUUAUCUUCACUCAUCCCACUUUCAAAGCAGGAGUGUUCCAAGAGAAAUUGCAGAGACUUCGUAUUUUUCAUCUGCCCUUAGCUACUCAUAGAAUUGAGAGCAUGAUUCUGCUACUGGCAAAUUAAUCAGUCUUGAAACUUCACAAUUAAUCAUAGCAGAGCCAGUGCUCUGCUCAAGAACUUAGGAAGAAAAACCCUUACGGGUAUUAGGUGCCACAUUACCCCACAACUCAAAGAAUGUCUGUUCUAACUUUGCUGAACACAUCCCUGAAAGGAGUUCAUUUUAUUGCUGAUCCAAUUCUUAUGUCUCCUCUUAUCCAUGUGACAACUGCAACAAUUGAUUAAUACAGAAAAGUAAUAUUAGGAAAGUAUUUAUUUUUAGCUGCUUCUAAUGGGAUUUAGCAGCUGGAAAGAAGGAGAGCUGGCACGGAGCAAUCAGGGCAGUUCUUAGACAGCUGUGUGAGAAACUGUACCAGGCAAGGCUCUGAAAUACAUCACCUUUUUUUGUAUUUUAAGAAAUGCAAUAUAUGCAAUGAAAAAUUUGAAAACUAGACCUCAAUACUCGCAGCUUAGACAGUAACUCAAAGUGGAAUGGAAUUAAUUGUUAAAUCCAGUUCUGUAAUAACUUCUAGAUGAAAAUGCCCCUGGGUUUUGUGUGACUUUUUAAAUUUAGUGCUUAUGGCAGAUACUACUACCCAUCUUUGAAAGGCCUCAGGUUGGGAUUUAAAUUCCAUGCCACAUACAUUUUUAAGCAGAACAAAAAUGUAGUUACUUCUGCUCCUCUUUUCUCUUUAUGAACAGCAAUCUAAGAGACCCAUUUUCCUAUUUCGGAAGAAAGCAAUUUUCUGCAUGUUUGUGCCUAAGAAUUGCAGCCAGAAAAGUAUCUUGAUAAAAUGGCCCUGUAGUAUUCCAUGUGUUUUCUGACUGAAUGGUUCCUACACUGAGGUAGUUCCAUUUACAAAUCAAAUGUGUAAUUUUUCAGUGUAAGAACAGUAAACCGAGUCUUGAAUCUAAAAA